rnacentral:rRNA from 1 species
ACCCUGGUGGCGAGUGGCGAACGGGUGAGUAAUAUAUCGGAACGUGCCCUGGAGUGGGGGAUAACUAGUCGAAAGACUAGCUAAUACCGCAUACGAUCUACGGAUGAAAGUGGGGGAUCGCAAGACCUCAUGCUCGUGGAGCGGCCGAUAUCUGAUUAGCUAGUUGGUGGGGUAAAAGCCUACCAAGGCAUCGAUCAGUAGCUGGUCUGAGAGGACGACCAGCCACACUGGGACUGAGACACGGCCCAGACUCCUACGGGAGGCAGCAGUGGGGAAUUUUGGACAAUGGGGGCAACCCUGAUCCAGCAAUGCCGCGUGAGUGAAGAAGGCCUUCGGGUUGUAAAGCUCUUUUGUCAGGGAAGAAACGGUCCGGGCUAAUANCCUGGGCUAAUGACGGUACCUGAAGAAUAAGCACCGGCUAACUACGUGCCAGCAGCCGCGGUAAUACGUAGGGUGCAAGCGUUAAUCGGAAUUACUGGGCGUAAAGCGUGCGCAGGCGGUUGUGCAAGACAGAUGUGAAAUCCCCGGGCUUAACCUGGGAAUUGCAUUUGUGACUGCACGGCUAGAGUGUGUCAGAGGGGGGUAGAAUUCCACGUGUAGCAGUGAAAUGCGUAGAGAUGUGGAGGAAUACCGAUGGCGAAGGCAGC